AUUUACAGAAACCUCAAUUUGUGAUGGAAUCAGCAGUAAUGCGACUCUCCUGUCCGCUGGGCUCGUGAGCGCCCCCUGUAGUGUCGACCUGCAGCAGUACGCUUGCUCUUCGCUCACAGGCUUCACUGCUGAACACCUGGCUGGACUUCUGAAGUGUCAGCUAUCCAGCAGCAGCAGUUACUCCAAGGAGAUCUGGAAGCUGCUCUUCACCAAAACAGACAGUGUUCUCAAUGGAGCCCUCACCAUAUUUUCCAGCUCGG